AUUGAACGCUGGCGGCAUGCCUUACACAUGCAAGUCGAACGGUAACGCGGGGGGCAACCCUGGCGACGAGUGGCGAACGGGUGAGUAAUACAUCGGAACGUGUCCUGUUGUGGGGGAUAACCCAUCGAAAGGUGAGCUAAUACCGCAUGAUCUGGAGACAGCAAAGCAGGGGACCGGUAACGGCCUUGCGCGAUUGGAGCGGCCGAUGUCCGAUUAGCUAGUUGGUGGGGUAAAGGCCCACCAAGGCAACGAUCGGUAGCUGGUCUGAGAGGAUGAUCAGCCACACUGGGACUGAGACACGGCCCAGACUCCUACGGGAGGCAGCAGUGGGGAAUUUUGGACAAUGGGGGCAACCCUGACGCAGCGACGCCGCGUGGAGGAUGAAGAUUUUCGGAUCGUAAACUCCUGUCGAAUGGGACGAAAAGAUUGCGGGUGAACAGCCCGUAGUCCUGAC
rnacentral:rRNA from 1 species